GAGACGCUACCACAUCCAGGAAGGCAGCAGGCGCGCAAAUUACCCACUCCCAGAACGGGGAGGUAGUGACGAAAAAUAACAAUACGGGACUCUUUUGAGACCCCGUAAUUGGAAUGAGUACACUCUAAAUCCUUUAACGAGGAUCCAUUGGAGGGUAAGUCUGGUGCCAGCAACCGCGGUAAUUCCAGCUCCAAUAGCGUAUAUUAAAGUUGUUGCGGUUAAAAAGCUCGUAGUUGGAUCUCAGUUCCAGACGGGUGGUCCGCCUACCGGUGGUUACUGCCUGUUCUGAACAGUCAGCCGGUUUCUCUUGAUGAUCUUCACCGGUUGUCUUGGGUGACCGGCAAGUUUACUUUGAAAAAAUUAGAGUGCUCAAAGCAGGCGUGACGCCUGAAUAAUGGUGCAUGGAAUAAUGGAAUAGGACCUCGGUUCUAUUUUGUUGGUUUUCGGAACACGAGGUAAUGAUUAAGAGGGACAGACGGGGGCAUUCGUAUUGCGACGCUAGAGGUGAAAUUCUUGGACCGUCGCAAGACGAACUACUGCGAAAGCAUUUGCCAAGAAUGUUUCCAUUAAUCAAGAACGAAAGUUAGAGGUUCGAAGGCGAUCAGAUACCGCCCUAGUUCUAACCAUAAACGAUGCCAGCCAGCGAUCCGGCUGUGUUCCUCAAAUGACACGCCGGGCAGCUUCCGGGAAACCAAAGCUUUUGGUUCCGGGGA
rnacentral:rRNA from 1 species